rnacentral:rRNA from 1 species
UGGGGAAUAUUGGGCAAUGGGCGAAAGCCUGAUCCAGCAAUGCCGCGUGAGUGAUGAAGGCCUUAGGGUUGUAAAGCUCUUUUACCCGGGAUGAUAAUGACAGUACCGGGAGAAUAAGCCCCGGCUAACUCCGUGCCAGCAGCCGCGGUAAUACGGAGGGGGCUAGCGUUGUUCGGAAUUACUGGGCGUAAAGCGCACGUAGGCGGGUCGUUAAGUCAGGGGUGAAAUCCCGGAGCUCAACUCCGGAACUGCCUUUGAUACUGGCGAUCUUGAGAUCGGAAGAGGUGAGUGGAAUUCCCAGUGUAGAGGUGAAAUUCGUAGAUAUUGGGAAGAACACCAGUGGCGAAGGCGGCUCACUGGUCCGAUACUGACGCUGAGGUGCGAAAGCGUGGGGAGCAAA